rnacentral:rRNA from 1 species
GAUGAACGCUAGCGGCAGGCUUAAUACAUGCAAGUCGAGGGGUAGCAAGAUUGUAGCAAUACAAUUGUUGACGACCGGCAAACGGGUGCGGAACACGUACACAACCUUCCUACAAGUGGGGAAUAGCCCAGAGAAAUUUGGAUUAAUACCCCGUAACAUAGCGAUGUGGCAUCACAUUGCUAUUAUAGCUUCGGCGCUUGUUGAUGGGUGUGCGGCUGAUUAGAUAGUUGGCGGGGUAACGGCCCACCAAGGCUACGAUCAGGAUCCGAUGUGGGAGCAUGAUCAGCCACACGGGAACUGAGACACGGGCCCGCCUCCUACGGGAGGCAGCAGUAAGGAAUAUUGGACAAUGGACGCAAGUCUGAUCCAGCCAUGCCGCGUGAAGGAUUAAGGUCCUCUGGAUUGUAAGCUUCUUUUAUAAGGGACGAAAAAAGGUCUUUCUAGAUCGUCUGACGGUACCUUAUGAAUAAGCACCGGCUAACUCCGUGCCAGCCGCCGCGGUAACAC